AACACUUAGAAAUAGGUGCUAAUACCGCAUAAGCGCACGGUUCCGCAUGGAACAGUGUGAAAAACUCCGGUGGUAUACGAUGGAUCCGCGUCUGAUUAGCCAGUUGGCGGGGUAACGGCCCACCAAAGCGACGAUCAGUAGCCGGCCUGAGAGGGUGAACGGCCACAUUGGGACUGAGACACGGCCCAAACUCCUACGGGAGGCAGCAGUGGGGAAUAUUGCACAAUGGGGGAAACCCUGAUGCAGCGACGCCGCGUGAGUGAAGAAGUAUUUCGGUACGUAAAGCUCUAUCAGCAGGGAAGAAAAAAAGUCCUUUGGACUUUGGACGGUACCUGACUAAGAAGCCCCGGCUAACUACGUGCCAGCAGCCGCGGUAAUACGUAGGGGGCAAGCGUUAUCCGGAUUUACUGGGUGUAAAGGGAGCGUAGACGGCAGCGCAAGUCUGGAGUGAAAUGCCGGGGCCCAACCCCGGAACUGCUUUGGAAACUGUGCAGCUGGAGUGCAGGAGAGGUAAGCGGAAUUCCUAGUGUAGCGGUGAAAUGCGUAGAUAUUAGGAGGAACACCAGUGGCGAAGGCGGCUUACUGGACUGUAACUGACGUUGAGGCUCGAAAGCGUGGGGAGCAAACAGGAUUAGAUACCCUGGUAGUCCACGCC
rnacentral:rRNA from 1 species